CCAAGGAGUUCAGCGUGUACGCGAGUCAUUGGGUUGUAAAACCCAAAGGCGUAAUGAAAGUGAAGGGAGCUUCGCGUUUCUGAGGGAGGAUGAGUUGGUUACCCGCAAGGGGCUGCUCCGCACUCCCGGGGCGUCUCUUUCUCAUUGCGAGUGGAGGCGCACCCAGAGCGUACACGCUGAUACCCGAAAGAUGGUGAACUAUGCCUGGCCAGGACGAAGCCAGGGGAAACCCUGGUGGAGGUCCGCAGCGAUUCUGACGUGCAAAUCGAUCGUCGGAGCUGGGUAUAGGGGCGAAAGACCAAUCGAACCAUCUAGUAGCUGGUUCCCUCCGAAGUUUCCCUCAGGAUAGCUUGCGCUCAUGUGAACGAGUCUCAUCCGGUAGAGCGAAUGAUUAGAGGCCUUGGGGUCGAAACGACCUCAACCUAUUCUCAAACUCCAAAUAGAUGAGAACUCCGGCUUUCUUGAACUUUGUUUUUGAAGCCGGGGGCUCGGAUCAGAGUGCCAAGUGGGCCAAUUUUGGUAAGCAGAACUGGCGCUGUGGGAUGAACCAAACGUCGAGUUAAGGCGCCCAAAUCGACGCUCAUGUGAAACCAUGAAAGGCGUUGGUUGCUUAAGACAGCAGGACGGUGGCCAUGGAAGUCGGAAUCCGCUAAGGAGUGUGUAACAACUCACCUGCCGAAGCAACUAGCCCUGAAAAUGGAUGGCGCUGUAGCGUCGUGCCUAUACUCGACCGUCAACGGCAAAGAUGGCUGGCGGGCAACCGUCGGCCGUUACGCCUUGACGAGUAGGAGGGCCGCGGCGACGUGCGUAGAAGGGUCUGGGCGUGAGCCUGCCUGGAGCCGUCGUCGGUGCAGAUCUUGGUGGUAGUAGCAAAUACUCCAGCGAGGCCCUGGAGGACUGAUGUGGAGAAGGGUUUCUUGUGAACAGCUGUUGCACAAGAGUCAGUCGGUCCUAAGCCCUAGGAGAAAUCCGAAGCGAUGGGUUGCCGUGAAACCACCAUUGUGUAAGCUGGCACCCGUUUGGGCGAAAGGGAAUCCGGUUCCUAUUCCGGAACCUGGCAGUGGAACCGUUCCAAUUCGGGCCCUCUGAGGACUCGUCAGGGCAACCUGAAUAGACCCGGAGACGCCGACAGGAGAUUGGGGGAGAGUUGUCUCUUCUCUAUAAGCGAUCGAGUUCCCUGGAAACUUCUAGCAAGGAGAUAGGGUUUGGAUCGCGAAGAGCACUGCAGUUACGGCAGUGUCCCAAUCUUCCUCUCGGACCUUGAAAAUCCGGGUGAGGGCCACGAGGAACCCCACGCCAGACCGUACCCAUAUCCGCAGCA
rnacentral:rRNA from 1 species